rnacentral:rRNA from 1 species
AUACGUAGGGGACGAGCGUUGUCCGGAAUUACUGGGCGUAAAGGGCGCGCAGGCGGAUAUUUAAGUCAGCUGUAAAAGGCAUGAGCUCAACUCAUGUAUGCGGUUGAAACUGGGUAUCUAGAGUGCUGGAGAGGUAGGCGGAAUUCCCGGUGUAGCGGUGAAAUGCUUAGAUAUCGGGAAGAACACCAGGGGAGAAGGCGGAUAACGGGCGAGCAUCAGACGCAGUGGCGCGAAAGCCAGGGGAGCGAAGGGGAUUAGAUCCGCCGGUAGUACUGGCCGUAAACGAUGAAUACUAGGUGUGGGUGUCGAGAGGCAUCCGUGCCGGAGUUAACGCGAUAAGCAUUCCGCCGGGGGAGUACGAUCGCAAGAUUGAAACUCAAAGGAAUUGGCGGGU